UACAGAGGGGGCAAGCGUUGUUCGGAAUUACUGGGCGUAAAGGGCGCGUAGGCGGCCCGCUAAGUCGAACGUGAAAUCCCCGAGCUCAACUCGGGAACUGCGUCCGAUACUGGCGGGCUUGAAUCCGGGAGAGGGAUGCGGGAAUUCCAGGUUGUAGCGGUGAAAUGCGUAGAUAUCUGGAGGAACACCGGUGGCGAAGGCGGCAUCCGUGGACCGGCAUUGACGCUGAGGCGCGAAAGCUAGGGGAGCAAACGGGG
rnacentral:rRNA from 1 species